GGGUUUCAAAUGUCAGGUGCAUGAUGCUUGCUGGCCAAUAUAGACACCCAGGAGGUGAGAACAAAUUCAACAAACAAGAAACAAAACAAAAACAUUUUAUAUAAAGCAUUUUAUAUUUUAACAUUUGUGCAUAUGUAUUCAAUUAAAAUGCCUCUUUCCCCUGCUUUCCAAGAUGAUCACAGGAAGCCCUUUUGCUGAAAGUAAGAGAUGUCGAAAUCGAACUCUGGCACUCUUUUGGUCCUUAGAGGAGGCCACCCAUCGGACUUUGGCUGAAUACUCGUCAAAGGCUACGUCAAACGGCAGAAUUU